UAACACGUGGGUGAUCUGCCCUGCACUCUGGGAUAAGCCUGGGAAACUGGGUCUAAUACCGGAUAGGACCAUGCUUUAGUGUGUGUGGUGGAAAGUUUUUCGGUGUAGGAUGAGCCCGCGGCCUAUCAGCUUGUUGGUGGGGUAAUGGCCUACCAAGGCGGCGACGGGUAGCCGGACUGAGAGGUUGGUCGGCCACAUUGGGACUGAGAUACGGCCCAG
rnacentral:rRNA from 1 species